GCCAGACUCCUACGGGAGGCAGCAGUGGGGGAUAUUGCACAAUGGGGGAAACCCUGAUGCAGCGACGCCGCGUGAGUGAAGAAGUAUUUCGGUAUGUAAAGCUCUAUCAGCAGGGAAGAAGAAAGACGGUACCUGAGUAAGAAGCCCCGGCUAACUACGUGCCAGCAGCCGCGGUAAUACGUAGGGGGCAAGCGUUAUCCGGAUUUACUGGGUGUAAAGGGAGCGUAGACGGUAUGGCAAGUCUGAAGUGAAAGCCCCGGGCUCAACCUGGGAACUGCUUUGGAAACUGUUAAACUAGAGUGCUGGAGAGGCAGGCGGAAUUCCUAGUGUAGCGGUGAAAUGCGUAGAUAUUAGGAGGAACACCAGUGGCGAAGGCGGCCUGCUGGACAGUAACUGACGUUGAGGCUCGAAAGCGUGGGGAGCAAACAGGAUUAGAUACCCUGGUAAG
rnacentral:rRNA from 1 species